AUGACGGGUUGGUUGCCCCUUAGGGACCCCCGUGCCGUUGUGUGUCAUGGCACAGCACACUGGCUCAUAUGUUAUGUCACAUGUCAAGACUGGCGGUUGCAUUCCAUUGAGGUGGAUGCUAAGACAUGCCGUGUCUCCUUGACUAAGAUUGCGAUCCCGGCCAAACACAAGACAACUGAACAUUAUGAUGAGCCACAACUUAUUGUCCAUGCUAGCGAGAAACUAUCGUUACUCUACCUGGAUAGGCAAGAUUUCAAGCUACAGAUGUGGACACGGCAAGAGGAUGGUAGUCCUACAAUGUGGCUCUCCACUAUGGUUGUCGAGCUAAAACCACCUAGGCGAACUAUGAUGGACUUAAGUAUUUUGGGAGAAAAGGGUGGCAUGUUACUCAUCAAGGACAACCACACGAACUUGUACGCUGCCGAUUUUGAAACUGGGGCGAUGGUGAAGUUGACGCACUUUGACAAUAUUAACCGUCGGAAAGUUGUGCCCCUUGAGAUGGAUUGGCUAACAUUCUUCGUCUCUCGUCUCGGUGCCCGUGGACUUCGUUUGAAGAAACCAUCCUCGUAA
rnacentral:rRNA from 1 species